rnacentral:lncRNA from 1 species
GAGGUGUGGACAGGAGAAUGUAGAGAUCCUGGAGCCUUCUUGUUCAGGCUCAGGUGAACCAGCCAUGAAUGUCCCCAAACCAGCACAAAACUGCAACUCUGGUCAUCCAAGAUCCCUAAGACAAGAACCUGCUUGCAAUGAGCUUCCCGGUGACAGGGAUCCAACUUCCCACUGUGCUCACUUCGUCUGACCUUUGGAGCGUGGAAGGUUGUGAUGCACCAGCCUGCAGGGACCGGCGCGAUGUCUCUUAAUUGUGCUCUGUAAUCAGCGGCUCGUUUGCAACCCUCUGCAAUGACACAGCUUUGUCCUCCAGCUGAGGGCACCGCGGGAGGCCACUCCGCAGGCAAAGGCACGAAGGAAGAUCAAGUACUCCCGGCAGCUCUGCUUCGAAGCUCGGAGGCUCCUGGAGCUGUGAGAGGGACCUCAGCGUGUGUUUUAUGGUGUAUUGAUUGGGAAAGGAAACAUAAAAUACUGCCUAAACCCACAUUCUCUUGGGAAGUUUCCAUUACCCAAGGCAAAAUGGGACCCAAAGGGCUGGGAUCCUAAAAAGUACUAAGUCCCAUAUAAAGAUGUGUGUGUGACCUUGGAAUAAUCCAAAGUCAGAAGAAAUAGGUCCCACUCAGUGUUUCAUGGGAGUUAGCAGGCUCAUAGGAAGGAACUUGUGAUACACACCACAAUAAACUCUGCAAGCAUUAAGCUGGGUGAAGCAAGGGAAAUCUUCAUUGCAUCAUCAAGGGUAAAGGAGCUGCAAAGAUUUUCUAUUUCUCCAAAAAAAGGAAGAGUGAAGGAUCUGUACUUUGGCUUUUUUUUGGAUUAGUAAAAGUCUGUGUAUAAGCUCUGUAUAGAAAUGGAAGCACCUAAGUGUUUUGCACAAACAUCUUUCACCCAAGCAGCAGUAAAAAUCAGUUUUUGAAGAAAUGGCAACCACUGGGGAUGAUCCAGAAGAGAUAUCACUUUGUUUCUUCAAGGUGUCCAUGCUUCAGGUGCUGCUCUGCCUGGACAGCUAAAAAUGUUAAGGGCAGAAAUGGCAAAAUGACCCCAACAUUGAACUGAAGUGCCAUGUGCUCAGAAAUUGGUUGAACAAGACACUCUGUGACCAUGAAAUCACAUUUGGGAAAGGCUGAAAUAGAUAAGCUCAGUGCUGAAGCUGCUUCAGCCUUGUGCAGGAGGAAAGCCUACAGUGUAGGAUGGCUCUUGGAGUCCUUCCUGGAAUACUUACCUUCCAGAAUCCUUUCUGGAGCAUUACCUUUCUCACAUAAAACAAUCAUUCCCUGCUUUGAUGGAUUCUGCUGAAAUAUAAUCUGCAUAAAUGGAACUGCUGCAACCCUGUCUGGACUGAAACACAUAAUGUUGUAGGAUGGAAAGAAAUGGCUGUGUUUUUCUUCAAGGCAAAACUUCUUAUAUUCUUGACAGCUUUUGAAAAAAAAAAGUGGUGUAUGUGGAGUGAAAAUCUUUGAUGGGGAAGUGAAA